UACGUAGGGUGCGAGCGUUAAUCGGAAUUACUGGGCGUAAAGCGUGCGCAGGCGGCGCCGCAAGUCAGGCGUGAAAUCCCCGAGCUUAACUUGGGAAUGGCGCUUGAAACUACGGUGCUGGAGUGUGGCAGAGGGAGGUGGAAUUCCACGUGUAGCGGUGAAAUGCGUAGAGAUGUGGAGGAACACCGAUGGCGAAGGCAGCCUGCUGGGCUAUGGCUGACACUGAGGCGCGACAGCGUGGGGAGCAAACAGG
rnacentral:rRNA from 1 species